GACGAACGCUGGCGGCGUGCUUAACACAUGCAAGUCGAACGGAAAGGCCCAGCUUGCUGGGUGCUCGAGUGGCGAACGGGUGAGUAACACGUGGGUGAUCUGCCCCUAACUUCGGGAUAAGCUUGGGAAACUGGGUCUAAUACCGGAUAGGACAAUCGUUUAGUGUCGGUUGUGGAAAGUUUUUUCGGUUAGGGAUGAGCCCGCGGCCUAUCAGCUUGUUGGUGGGGUAAUGGCCUACCAAGGCGUCGACGGGUAGCCGGCCUGAGAGGGUGGACGGCCACAUUGGGACUGAGAUACGGCCCAGACUCCUACGGGAGGCAGCAGUGGGGAAUAUUGGACAAUGGGCGCAAGCCUGAUGCAGCGACGCCGCGUGGGGGAUGACGGCCUUCGGGUUGUAAACCUCUUUCGACAGGGACGAAGCUUUGGUGACGGCACCUGUAUAAGAAGCACCGGCUAACUACGUG
rnacentral:rRNA from 1 species